AGUGAACGCUGGCGGCGUGCCUAAUACAUGCAAGUCGAACGGAGUGGCGCACGGGUGAGUAAUAUAUAGCUAAUCUGCCCCUUGCUGGAGGACAACAGUUAGAAAUGAAUGCUAAUACUCCAUAGCAAGGGAUGAGACUAUAUCGUAUCAGAUAGUCGGUGGGGUAAAGGCCUACCGAGGCUAUGACGCGUAACUGGUCUGAGAGGAUGAUCAGUCACACUUGAACGUAGACACGGUCCAAACGCCGACGGGAGGCCGCAGUAGGGGAUAUUGCCCCAUGGGGGAAACCCUGACGCAGCAACGCCUCGUGGAGGAUGACACUUUUCUGAGCGUAAACUCCUUUUGUUAGGGAAGCGGUACCUAACGAAUAAGCACCGGCUAACUCCGUGCCAGCAGCCGCGGUAAUAC
rnacentral:rRNA from 1 species